rnacentral:rRNA from 1 species
GACGGGUGAGGAAUGCGUAGGAACCUACCCCAAAGUGAGGAAUAGCCCCGCGAAAGCGGGGGUAAUACCGCAUGUUCUCGCAAGAGAAAAGGGCGUAACUGCCCGCUUUGGGAUGGGCCUGCGUCCUAUCAGCUUGUUGGUGGGGUAAAAGCCUACCAAGGCGAUGACGGGUAGCUGGACUGAGAGGUCGGCCAGCCACAAUAGCACUGCGACACGGGCUAUACACCUACGGGUGGCAGCAACCGGGAAUAUUGCGCAAUGGGGGAAACCCUGACGCAGCGACGCCGCGUGGACGAUGAAGGCCUUCGGGUUGUAAAGUCCUUUUAUUUGGUGGUAUCACCUUAAGAAUAAGCACCUGCAAACUACGUGCCAGCAGCCGCGGUAAUACGUAGGGUGCAAGCGUUAUCCGGAUUUAUUGGGCGUAAAGAGUUCGUAGGCGCCUUAUCGCAUCUUGUCUUAAAGACCGAAGCUCAACUUCGGAAAUGGGCAAGAAAUGGGUAGGGUUGAGGUCGGAAGGGGGUGCUGGAAUUCCUGGUGUAGGAGUGAAAUCCGUUGAUAUCAGGAAGAACGCCAAGGGCGAAGGCAGGCCCCUGGGACGAUUCUGACGCUGAGGAACGAAAGCUAGGGGAGCGAAAGGGAUUAUAGACCCCUGUAGUCCUACCCGUAAACUAUGUCUGCUACCCCCAGGGCAACCCCGGGGGGAAGGUAAACCC